UUUAUCGUAAAAACAGAAUACGAACACUGUCAUAUUAAAUCUUGCAUUGAAUACAAAGUAUUUAGUGACCUUAUUUUUGUACUAUGUUACCAGGGUUUGACAUAGUUUUUUUUCUCUAUUUCUGUUAAAGAAUGUGCUUUGAAUCCACUGUUAUUAUUAGCAUAAGAAAAUAUUCUACGAAUUAUGUUUCAUUUUGGAUUUAUUCCAAAUAAAAUGAAUAUAUUAUAUUACGAGAAUAACAACUCUCCAGCUGGUGAAGUGCGUUACAAAUAUAGAGAAUCACAAUAUGAGGAGUUUUGUGUGUUUCAUCUUUCUAAUAAAACUAGUAACUGCAUUUAAUGAAACUACUGCAGAGAUUUGCAUGGACGAUGAUGCACUGCCGCAGCCAUUGGUAGAGAAGAGAGGGAAAGAUACAGAUUUUCGCUUCAUCGGAUUCUUUGAUGUUCACGAAGG